AUAGUUUCCUCUAUUGCUGUGAUUCUCUCUCUCUCUCUCUCUCUCUCUCUCUCUCUUCCUCCCGUCCUGCCUAUCGAAGAGCUCAAAUCCAAAGUCCGAGCAAAGCAAAUUCGCUCAGCACGAAUGGAUCCGAGGAUGAACACGCACGAAGUUUUCAAGAGGCGAGCCCAUCACCUACAGUCGUAGUAGUAGUCAUCGUAAUCGACGGUGGUGGAGUUUUCAUGUUAUUGUGCAUUAUCAGAACUAGCAUAGGUGGUCAUAUUCAUAUUUGCUAGUUUAGUGAGGGAAACUGAAACCUUUUUUUUCCUCUGAAGUAAGAAAGUUACUUGCCCUGUUUUGCAUGAAGCAUGAUGAGAAUGAAUAUGGAGAGGGAACAAACUACAAGUUGAGGAGCCUUGUUAGUCCUCAUGGCCUCAAUAUUGCAAAAACUAUUGCUGAAGAAAGCCAUAUAUAUACUAGUACCUGCUGAAACUGAAACCUUAUCACAUCAAGAUCCUUAGCUCUUUAUGUAGUAAAUGUUUAUUUCAAUAAUAUGUAUGAUGUAUGAUUGGUACUUAUGAGUUAUAUAUUUAAGUUUGUGCAGUAGCAAGCAUGUUUUUGUACCACUUGAUCUCUAAUAUUAUUCAAUAUUUGCAGUUUGAUACUGCCUUCAUUGCCUUGGAUAUGAAAGAACCUAAACUGUGGGAAGGCAACUUUAGGGAGACGAGAUGGUGUUGUUCAAUUUCUGCGUAGACAGAGCAAUGUUUUGAAGACCGUAUUGAUCAAUCUUUGCUCAGACUACUUUAAAUCAUUUGGAGAUGGUCAUGAGAAUAUGAGACCGUAUUGACAUUGUCUUAGUGAUAUGAUCUACUGAGCUUUUCUUAUUGAUGCUUCACUGGUAUUGUUUCAGCUGUUCCAUUCGAAGGCCAUAUAUUGAUCAUCUUACGAUUGGCUACUA